UUGCUCAUAUUCGCCUCCAUUCCGUAACAACCUGGAUAAAUAACCAAGGCUCUGAUACCACUUGUUAUGACCGAAAAAAAUCAUGUGUCAUGCGGAAGCUAGCAAAGCAAACUUGAACGACGAUUAAUCAGACAACAAAAGAGAAAUAUACCAAAAGAGACCAAACAUUUAACAUGGUUCGGUCAACUGACCUACGUCCACACGG
rnacentral:lncRNA from 1 species